rnacentral:rRNA from 1 species
ACAGCAGCAGCCGCGGGAAUACGAAGGGUGCAAGUGUUACUCGGAAUUACUGGGCGUAAAGCGUGCGUAGGUGGUGGUUUAAGUCCGUUGUGAAAGCCCUGGGCUCAACCUGGGAAUUGCAGUGGAUACUGGGUCACUAGAGUGUGGUAGAGGAUAGUGGAAUUUCCGGUGUAGCAGUGAAAUGCGUAGAGAUCGGAAGGAACAUCUGUGGCGAAGGCGACUAUCUGGGCCAACACUGACACUGAGGCACGAAAGCGUGGGGAGCAAACAGGAUUAGAUACCCGGGUAGUCCCUGUCUCUUAUAC